rnacentral:rRNA from 1 species
AUUGAACGCUGGCGGCAGGCCUAACACAUGCAAGUCGAACGAGUGGCGGACGGGUGAGUAAUGUCUGGGAAACUGCCUGAUGGAGGGGGAUAACUACUGGAAACGGUAGCUAAUACCGCAUACCCUCGGAUCUGACCAGAUGGGAUUAGCUAGUAGGUGGGGUAAAGGCUCACCUAGGCGCAGAUCCCUAGCUGGUCUGAGAGGAUGACCAGCCACACUGGAACGGAUGCACGUCCCAGACUCCGACGGGAGGCAGCAGUGGGUAAGAGUGCACAAUGGGCGCAAGCCUGAGGCAGCCAUGCCGCGUGUAUGAAGAAGGCCUUCGGGUUGUAAAGUACUUUCAGCGGGGAGGCGUUACCCGCAGAAGAAGCACCGGCUAACUCCGUGCCAGCAGCCGCGGUAAUAC